AGUGGCCACCACAAUUUAUUUCAUAACUUUGACCUCAAAUCAGGUAGGACUACCCGCUGAACUUAAGCAUAUCAAUAAGCGGAGGAAAAGAAACCAACAGGGAUUGCCUUAGUAGCGGCGAGUGAAGCGGCAAAAGCUCAAAUUUGAAAUCUGGCUCUUUCAGAGUCCGAGUUGUAAUUUGAAGAAGGUAUCUUUGGGUCUGGCUCUUGUCUAUGUUUCUUGGAACAGAACGUCACAGAGGGUGAGAAUCCCGUGCGAUGAGAUGAUCCAGGCCUAUGUAAAGUUCCUUCGAAGAGUCGAGUUGUUUGGGAAUGCAGCUCUAAGUGGGUGGUAAAUUCCAUCUAAAGCUAAAUAUUGGCGAGAGACCGAUAGCGAACAAGUACAGUGAUGGAAAGAUGAAAAGAACUUUGAAAAGAGAGUGAAAAAGUACGUGAAAUUGUUGAAAGGGAAGGGCUUGAGAUCAGACUUGGUAUUUUGUAUGUUACUUCUUCGGGGGUGGCCUCUACAGUUUAUCGGGCCAGCAUCAGUUUGGGCGGUAGGAGAAUUGCGUUGGAAUGUGGCACGGCUUCGGUUGUGUGUUAUAGCCUUCGUCGAUACUGCCAGCCUAGACUGAGGACUGCGGUUUAUACCUAGGAUGUUGGCAUAAUG
rnacentral:rRNA from 1 species